ensembl:lncRNA
CUGUUGGGAGAAGAGAAGAAAGGCUGGGGUGUUUUCUGUGGAUAAGUCUAUAGCAGGAGACAGGCCACAGGGAGCCAAGAGCCCAAGAGCCACAGCCAGGAAACUACAUUUAUAUUUUGCAUGAAAAGGGCAGCUUUUAGGGAAGUUUAGGAUGUGUUUUGAAGAGAUCACUCUGAGUAGACUGCAGACUGUAGGUAGAGUUAGCAUGGAUGGAAGCCAGGAAGCUCACUGGAGGCUGUUUCAACAGUGGAAGCCAGAGGUGAUGAGUGCUUGGCUUGGACUGCAGUGGAAGUAAAGAAACUAGUGAGGAGUGCUUGCAUUCUGUAUCUAUACCCAAGGUUGACCAGAUGUAUAGAUGAUUGCUUGUGGCUGGAAGAGAAAUGAAGUGAGCAAGAAUUGCUGGAACAGUAUGAAGGGCCCACCAGAUGACCUCACCAUCUCCAUCAGCGUUUUCAAGGGUUUCUCCAUGUAUCCCUGACUGACCUGGAACUCAACUCUGUAGACCAAUGUGGCCUUGAGCUCAGACAUCCACCUGCCUCUGGAGUACUGGAUUAAAGUGACCGAUCGCUGCUUGGAUUUUAAAGGUUGUCAUCAAUUCAGUCUCAUCUUGGCAUGUUCCUACAUUGACGUGGUUUUAUCAAAGAUCCUCUCAUUGCCGUGGGAAUCGAAGGAAUAUAUAAGCAAACUGCUGUAAAAACAGUAGCUCCUGCAGCUGGCACCAAGAGAAGUCCAAGGUAUUUGCCCUUCAUUUGUUGUCCACAUGUAGCAUCCUGUCAAGUCACAGUGGACCUUUAGGCUGACAUUGACCCUGUUAUCUACAGUGCUACUAAAGAGAAUGGACAUUGCUGAAUCAUGCCAUGGGUGGAAUCAUUCCAUCAAUUCCUGAUUUUUCUCCAAAUGCAGCUGCGUUUCUGUAGAGUUCGUUUCCUGAGAAAGCUGAAGAGAAAACGGACCUAGCUUGCUGGGUGUCAGAAGAUCUUGGACAUUCAAGGUUUGUUGGCUGUUGGAAGCUGUCACUAUGUUGAUACCGUGCAUCCCAGUUCCUCUGUUGGGGUUACGUCACAGCACAUGAGCUUUGCGGGUACUAAGACAUGGAGAACUGGUGACCUGAGAGAACGCUUUGGACAAUAUCUGAAUGGGAAAAGAUGGACGGCAAAUAAAUUGAUCAAUAAGAAGAUUAAUAAUAAAGUGCCUGCAGACAAUUGAUUUUGGGUGAUAUAAUGAGCGGUAUCCAGGAUUCUUUGUGUAGCUAAAAAAAAAAAAUGCCUGAAGUAGUUUGAUGAGAGCGUGAGGUGGUGCAGACAUGCGUGCUGGAGGUCGGUAGAGUUCCUGCCUGACAGAGUCAACCUGACCUAGAGGGACGAUUCCUGAAGGGCCAUGAGACGACCGGGGGACACUCUGGAACCAGGCACUUUGGAAACAGGAACAGCGUGCGUCAAGGAAGCUGCACUGGGAAGCUUCUCACCCAUCAGGCUAUUUGGUGAGAAGAUUUGGCAGGGACAGGGGAAAAAUACAGACUAAUUUUGUCACUUGCUGAGGUAGAAGGGAUAUUGGGCAGUAACGCCUCCUACUCUGUACAUGUGCAUAUGGAGUCAUAAUCUUUAUUAUUAUUAUUAUUAUUAUUAUUAUUAUUAUUAUCAUCAUUAUCAUCUGCAUGAGUCAGACUGGAGCUAGAUCUCAUUAAAGAGUCCCCAGGGAGUCUGAAGAGGAACUGAGGCAGACUCAUACCAACUCAAGCAUCCUCAUCAGUAGUUAAGGACUUACCCAGAGUCUGGUGCAUUGAACCUCCACUGAAAAGGCUCAGUCUCAAGGAUCAGCGUUGUAUCUGAGACCCUAGCAUCAGCCUAUGACCCCCGGUGUGCUGGUGCACACCUUUAACCCCAGCACUGCCAAGGCAGGUGGGUCUCUGUGAGUUCUAGGCCUAGUCUACAUAGUGAGCUCCAGGCCAGCUAGAACCACGUUGUGAGAUUCCGUCAGAACAAAAACCUCGGUGGUCAAGACUUCAGCCGAGAGGGCUCAAUGGACAUAAAAACAGAAAGAGUGGAUAGUGCUUGAUUAGAAGUUUCCCUGGUGUUAACAUGCAUAUGUAUGGUCCUAUCAUUACAAAGUCCCUGUUUCUUCAUCUUUAAAUGUUUCAGACAGUGAACAUUUAGAUUCAUUUUCUCUCUGUUACCAAUAAAACCAAACCUAUUUUCAAAGUU